rnacentral:rRNA from 1 species
UACGGAGGGUGCGAGCGUUAUCCGGAUUCACUGGGUUUAAAGGGUGCGUAGGUGGGUUGAUAAGUCAGUGGUGAAAUCCUCGAGCUUAACUCGAGAACUGCCGUUGAUACUAUCAGUCUUGAAUUCUGUGGAGGUAAGCGGAAUAUGUCAUGUAGCGGUGAAAUGCUUAGAUAUGACAUAGAACACCGAUAGCGAAGGCAGCUUACUACGCAGCGAUUGACACUGAGGCACGAAAGCGUGGGGAUCAAACAGG